GUUGAGAAGAAGUAUAAGUCUGAGAGACCAGUUUCCAAGGAAACCAUUUUCGAGAGUGCCUGGUUUUUGAUCAAAAGCAAGUACACGAAUGACAUAACUGAAGGCAUAUAGCUAUUGGAAGAACUGAUUCUUAAUAGCAAAAAAGAUGAUCAGAGAGACUUUCUCUUUUAUCUUGCCGUUGCAAAUUACAGACUUAAGGAAUAUGAGAAGGCAUUGAAGUAUGUUUGUACUCUGCUAAAAAAUUAACCAGAUGAUAAACAGGCACUGGAACCAGAGACACUCAUCAACAAUGCGCUUAGAAAAGGUAAAAUACAGCAACAUUUAAACCUGAAAAAAUACCCACCAGCUUCACUGAACUGUUUGUGAAAAAGCUGGAAACAGGAAUGUAUUUUUCUACUCAUUGAAGCCAUCAACAUUAAGUGGAACAACAUUGACUCUUUCUGUAAAAAGCUGUUCGCAAGUUUACCCACAAGGCUUAAACUUUUAAAGAAAUCAAAGGGAAAAACUAUCCGAAACUAAGUUACUUUAUCUAUUUGUUCAUUUCUUACUAAUUUCCUGACCAAUGAUCUGUGGUUAAGACCAUUAAAAGCUUAAUGUUUUGCCAUUUUGGGCGUGGACCAUUUUUUUGCUCAGGUUUGUAGGGCAUUAUCUACUCUCUAUUUGUAAAAAAGAUAAAGUGAGGAUGAGAAACAGCACAUUAAUCAUUGGGAGAUAAUGUGUUGUGAGUUUUCAUUAACCUUAUUCAACUGUAACAUUAACCUGCACACAUGCGUGGACGUUGUAUUUUGGUUUCCCUAUACGCAAUGCAUUAUUUAAACUGACUGAUCUCAGUUCAGAAGUUUAGUAAAGGGCUAAACUUUCGAUGUACUGAGUCAUGUGACCAAACAACACAGCACCGAGAGUUUGUCUUUGGGAGAAAUUCCAACAAAACUACAUCUGGUAAGAAACCUUAUUACGUUAAACCUUAUUAAGUGCAUACACUCCUGAAAUCCAAGCAAAAGUUUAGUUUCAGGCUGCAGAUGAUGUUUGGACCACUCAACAUAUCUGGCAGGCAGUGGUAAUAAGAACGUAGAUUCAGAAUUUAUAAUGUAUCAUUUCAUUUUAACCUUAUUGGCAGUGAUUGGAUGAUGCUGUCCAAUACUUUAAAUCAGAAUGAAUUAUGCUAAUUUCUGAUAUAAUGUCUGUAGCUUCUAAAAAACAUGAAUACACAACACACCUGGUUACAUAAUAAACAAUUUGAUUGAAAAAGAAUACAGACUUUAUAGCUUGGUCCAUCCAUCCACUUUCUCCAGUUUAUCCGGUUCCGAGUCGUGGGGGCAGCAGUCUGAGCAGGGAUACCCAGACCUCCCUCUCUCCAGCCAUUCCAGCCAGCUCUCCCGGGAGGAUACCGAGGCAUUCCCAGGCCAGCCUAGAGAUAUAAUCUCUCCAGCUAGUCCUGGGUCUGGCCCGGGGUCUCCUCCCGAGUGGACAUGCCAGAAUUCGGGAGGCAUCCGAGGGGCAUUCUAGAAAGAUAUCUGAACCACCUCAACUGGCUCCUUCAAUCGGCUAUAGCUUGAUGGCUUGGUUGGCAUGGCGAUCAUUGGCGGUAUCGGAUUAGGUAUGGACGGAUUGGCAGGCCUUACUGGUGUGGCAGUGGCCAAAGGUGCAAAGUCCCAAUAUGGAGUUACAGAAAAUCUUUGAUUCCAUCUGCUCUCCAGAAGAGAGACUUUUUUUAUAUAAUCACAUAAAACCACGAGGAGUCCUGCCUUUCAUAAUGAUGUAUGAAUCACUUGCUCUUUCUGAUAUGCAUAGAUAUUGUGUGAUUACACUAAAGUAUUGUGCUGUAUUUCCCCCAGAAACCAUUAACUAUACUCAGGAUUUCAGACUACAGAGGCUUGCUAAUAAGGGUUAGGAUUUAUCAUAAUAUCAUGCACUUUUUGAGUGUACCUUUUUAAACUAUAUAUCUAAAUGUAUUUACAAUAAAGUAAAUUAAAAUGGCACUUUUUUGAUAAACAGUAAUACCUUACUUCUGUUAAAGAAUUAACAAGGUAUACAUGCUGAACUAAAUCACAUGUAUCUUGGCUGGUUUCAUACAGUAUGACGGUGUCUUGUGUGACCAGGGCCAAACUUGUAAUACAUUGUCUUAAAGUAUGUUCAUUGUUGUCGACACAGUCUUUAUCACGUUCUGUUUACAUCGUCUGUUUACUUGUGCUGGCACAUGUUUCAACUACUGUGAUUACUUUGUGUGUGUGUCUCUCUGUGCCUUGAAUUGUAAUCUCUGCUCAUAGAUUUCAAAUUGAAAACAUUUGCGAAAGAAAAACAUACUUUUCUUCUUCCUCCAUACAUUGUU